GAUGAACGCUGGCGGCGUGCCUAAUACAUGCAAGUCGAGCGAACAGAUGAGGAGCUUGCUCCUCUGACGUUAGCGGCGGACGGGUGAGUAACACGUGGAUAACCUACCUAUAAGACUGGGAUAACUUCGGGAAACCGGAGCUAAUACCGGAUAAUAUAUUGAACCGCAUGGUUCAAUAGUGAAAGACGGUUUUGCUGUCACUUAUAGAUGGAUCCGCGCCGCAUUAGCUAGUUGGUAAGGUAACGGCUUACCAAGGCAACGAUGCGUAGCCGACCUGAGAGGGUGAUCGGCCACACUGGAACUGAGACACGGUCCAGACUCCUACGGGAGGCAGCAGUAGGGAAUCUUCCGCAAUGGGCGAAAGCCUGACGGAGCAACGCCGCGUGAGUGAUGAAGGUCUUCGGAUCGUAAAACUCUGUUAUUGGGGAAGAACGAAUGUGUAAGUAACUAUGCACGUCUUGACGGUACCUAAUCAGAAAGCCACGGCUAACUACGUG
rnacentral:rRNA from 1 species